rnacentral:rRNA from 1 species
ACGCUGGCGGCGUGCCUAAUACAUGCAAGUCGAACGGUCUUUCUAUGGAAGCUUGCUUCCACUGAGAAGAUAGUGGCGAACGGGUGAGUAACACGUGGGUAACCUGCCCAUAAGAGGGGGAUAACAUCCGGAAACGGGUGCUAAUACCGCAUAGUUUUCUUGAUCGCAUGAUCGGGAAGGAAAGACGGCCUUUGUGCUGUCGCUUAUGGAUGGACCCGCGGCGUAUUAGUUAGUUGGUGAGGUAACGGCUCACCAAGACGAUGAUACGUAGCCGACCUGAGAGGGUGAUCGGCCACAUUGGGACUGAGACACGGCCCAAACUCCUACGGGAGGCAGCAGUAGGGAAUCUUCCGCAAUGGACGAAAGUCUGACGGAGCAACGCCGCGUGAGUGAAGAAAAGGUUUUCGGAUCGUAAAACUCUGUUGUCAGAGAAGAACAAGUUGGAGAGUAACUGCUCCAGCCUUGACGGUAUCUGACCAGAAAGCCACGGCUAACUACGUGCCAGCAGCGGC